GGGGAGCGGGACGGGGAAGCUGAGAGGGAGGACGGACGGCAGAUUCCCAUUCUACUGAAUCCCGAAUGCCUGGGAGAACUAAUUCAAAACCUUCAUUAUCACGUGACUUUACUCCAUGGAAUUAUUAAGCUAAAUCCUUCAAGCAAAAGAUAAAGACUAUUCUGUUCUUCAUACCAAAUGUUUCACUGCAGAUUUAGCUGCAUUAUAGCUAAUAGAAAUGAAUGCUUGCAUUCAAAGUUGAUACACAUUGAUGCCUUUUUGACUGCCAACAUUCCUUCCCAUCUGUUUGGAGAGAGAAAGUUAGAGGUUGAUUGUGUUCAUGCCAUGGGGUAGAAGUGCCAGCCAAUAAUGGCUUCAGUUGGAUAAUAAUAGGACUAAUACUUCCUAAAAACAGAUUUUCUGCUGGAUAAAUGUUUGGAAUACCAAAAAGAAAAAGAGCGCCACAAUAUGGAGGUUUGUAGUGUCUCACACCUGUUCAGGCUGGGUGCCAGGAAGGAUAUUGUGUGGCAGAAUACUAAUAAACUUAAUGUACAAGCUUAUCUUUAUCAUAUUCUGCAUUAAACAGACCAACACUCCCAUGAUCUAGCUCACAGAUCCUUUGUACUCAGAUUUUGUUUCCAGGCUUACACAAGUAAAAUAUCAUUAAAGCUUUAUUU